rnacentral:rRNA from 1 species
UGUGCCAGCAGCCGCGGUAAUACGUAGGUGGCAAGCGUUAUCCGGAAUUAUUGGGCGUAAAGCGCGCGUAGGCGGUUCUUUAAGUCUGAUGUGAAAUCCCCGGGCUCAACCUGGGAACUGCAUUCGAAACUGGCAGGCUAGAGUCUUGUAGAGGGGGGUAGAAUUCCAGGUGUAGCGGUGAAAUGCGUAGAGAUCUGGAGGAAUACCGGUGGCGAAGGCGGCCCCCUGGACAAAGACUGACGCUCAGGUGCGAAAGCGUGGGGAGCAAAC